UCUGCAUUUCCCACCCAAUAUCAAUCAGUACUGUCGAGGUCUAUGACAGUACUAACUGAGAGACUUAGCUUCUGAGAGGAACUAGUUGGUGACUACAGAGGGUACAGCUGAAAGAAGGACUCAACCGGGGUCUUUGGUCCUCCUUAGGCCCCGAUGUGACUACCUGAAACCAGUCUAUGUCAGCACUUCUUGCUACCUGAGAUAUACAUUAUUCAUGGUUUAAGCCAUUCUGAGUCAGGACUUUUUUUUUAUUGAAACUCGGAGCUGGAAAUAGCCAAGUUUACCCACCAAGAAUAACAUCUGGAUUAUGAACCCUGGAAAUAUAACCACUGUCAUUUUGUGUCCCUGGACUAUAUUAAGCUCUACCACAUGGUUUCCAACUUGAGAGUCACUUAGGUUGUCUGUACAGGUGUAUGAGGAAAAGAAAAUCUUAUUUAUGAAUGGAGUGUGGUGAUACACCCUAUCCCGAGCUUUUGUCCCCACCAGCAAGAACAUGCUCAGGACAACCGGAAUCUUCUGCGGCAAAAGCUUUAUUGCUUACUUCUUUAGGAACAAGAGGAGAAGAAUAGGGGCGAAUGGCAAAACCCUGUCCCUUUUAUGGAGGAUUGUCCUCCGCCUCGGACAUGUCGCUCCCUGAUUGGCUGCAGCCCAUCAACCGAGUUGUCGUCAAGGGGAAGGCAGAGCACAUGGAGUGGAGAACUACCCCGGCACAUGCGCAGAUUAUUUGUUUACUACUUAGAACACAGGAUGUCGGCGCCAUCUUGUAAUGGUGAAUGUGAGGGUGGCUCCUCACAACAUCCCUUUAAUCCCAGUACUGAAGGCAGAGGCAGGUGGAUUUCUGAGUCUGAAGACAGCCUGGUAUAGAGAGCUAGUUCCAGGGCUAUACAAGAAGACUCUGUCUUGCAAAAAAUGAAACAAAACAAAAUAAAACAAAUGAAUAAACA
rnacentral:lncRNA from 1 species